rnacentral:rRNA from 1 species
AGAAUCAACGCUGGCGGCGUGCCUAACACAUGCAAGUCGAACGAGAAAGUGGAGCAAUCCAUGAGUAAAGUGGCGACCGGGUGAGUAACACGUGACUAACCUACCUUCGAGUGGGGGAUAACCUCGGGAAACCGAGGCUAAUACCGCAUAACAUCGUGAGAUCAAAGCAGUAAUGCGCUGGAAGAGGGGGUCGCGGCUGAUUAGCUAGUUGGCGGGGUAAUGGCCCACAAGGCGAAGAUCGGUA